GGUGCGUUCGGACGACCACAGCGGCUGGACAGCUGAGCCAGCAGUAGCUGUCAGACGUCACCGCUGGAAGCCAGCCGCUGAGAGAUUUACUAAGCUUUCCCUAUCACGGCUGGAUACAACCACUCAGCCGGUUUCUGCUGACAGCCAGCCGCUAUGGUCGUCCGAACGCACCAAAGAAAAAGAACCUUAGUAGUUAGUAGAAAGGAAAGCAAUUUUAGAUUCCAACCGUGAAAUAUUUAUCAUCUAGUGGGAAAACCGCAGUAAUUGUGCCUUCAAACGGGCAAUUAAGGACAACCCCACCAAAAACCAUUAUAAUUAUAAAUUGAAAUGAUUAAAAAUGUUUGUACCUAUGUAAUUGUACAUGUAAAGCUGGAAAUUCAGGCAUACCAUGGAAAAUUUGAAAAAAAUAAGCACCACAGACAUCAAACAACAGUGGGGAUAAUUUAAAAAACAAUAAUACAACAUAGUCAACAACUACCAGUCUGCUGAUAAAUGGGCUACUGAUAUUGUACUAAAUUAUGAUUUAGCUCUAUUUUACUCAAAUAAUGUUGAAGUAAGCUACAGUAACUCUGUUGAAAUAUCUUUAGCUAUGCUAAACCAAACUGGAGAAGCAUGAAAAAAGCUGAUGUGACUGCAAGUAACUGGGACAAUUUAUUGCCAUUUAUUUACUUAUCAUAAAAAUAAAAGCCCAAGUUGGCCACUUAAAGUCAACCAAUUGUAUAAUUCCAAUUUUAAAUAAAAUACUGUACCCUUCCGUGGGAAAAAAUUAUGAAUCAGUUGCUUUAAAUAUGUAUGAAAAAAUAAGUCUAAGUAUGUAUGUAUGUAUUAUCAGUUUUAUUCCAAUUAUAUAAGUAAAAAACUUGUUUUAAAA